UUGUAAUCCAGCCAGGGUGUAAAUAUCACUCAGCUGAAGCAGGUAGCAUCAACACAUAAAUCUACUCUACCCGGCUUAAAUCACAAGAGCACCUCUGACCAAAAAGCUGUAGAUUUUUCUUGUUUGCACAAAUUAAUCCAGAUUCACAUUAAUUGUGUUCACAGCUCCAACAAAAUCAGGAAGAGGAGGGGGAGAAACACAAUUAGGUUGAAUUACAAUUGGAUGGAAGGCGAGGACAAGGAGAAGGAAGCUUAGGAUGAGGAGGAAGAGAAGCAGCAGGAGCAUCUUUAGGGCUCCCUAUGAUGAGAGGCAGCAGCGAGAGGGGAGACCUCGGCUCAUCCAGCUGGAGAGCCUGACCAGGAGGAGUCGAACAUUAACUCAGCUCUUCCAGGGCACCCUGCAGACUCGGCUGUUGGCAACAACGAGGGAUGACGUGAACGCCAAACAGGAGUCCAUCACAGGUCAACUGCAGCUCCUUGUCUCAGAGUGGGAGGGGUUUGAAGCACAAAGGGAGGAACUUGUCGUUUGGUUGGCUGAUAUGGAUGUCCGCCUGAGUGAGGUUGACCAGCUGACAGGAAACACCAGUGAAAAACUGAAACAACUGCAGGUGUGGGCUUGUUUUGAUAUGACAUAUUUGAUAUGAUACAUACGUCAGAGACAUUAUCCUAAACUGGACUAACAAAGGACCAUGAGUACAACAUGAAACGUACAUUACAUAGCGUAAGGCUGAAGUUCAUUGAUCAUUUUAAUCAUAAACUUGUUGAAAUAUUUUUACUGAACAUGCAAACAUCUGCUGAUGAAAAUGUGUUGAUUUAUUGGUCUGUUAUGAAGCUAUUGCUAUUUCUAAUGUGUUUUAUCACUUUCUGAUGUUUUAUUAAUUAAACAAUACAUGUAUUAAUUGUUGUGUUAUCUGUAGCUAUAGUAUUUAUAUAUAUUUAUUUAUAGUAUAGCAAAUAUAUUUAAUUAUUACUGUUUAAAACACUAAUAUGUGACAUGUAUUAGUAGUGAUGUUGUGCUGAGGGUUAAAAUGCCUUUUUGUCUUUUGGUAA
ensembl:lncRNA